UUUUUCACAUUGCAUCCUGUAGGUACACUUGAGGAAAUGGAGAUUUGGAUAGCUGGGAGAGAGAGAAAGGACCAGUGGCUUUCCUAAGAUGAACCAGUGGCUUGACAAGGCAGGGGAGCAGCAUUUGUUCCUUUGCUUUGCACUCCUGCACUCUGGUGGAUGCACCACGCAACUUUCAGACCUGCUUCAUUUUGAGCAAGAGAUACGCUCAAAACCAUCAGGGCGAAGGAGAAAACCAAAUCUGAUGAUAAUUACAGAAUUAUCCAAAUGCUGAUCAUGCCAUGAGGAACCACGUUUCCAUCUCCUGUUUUGCUUGAUAAGGUAACAACAGGACAUUGCUGUCAGCAUUAUCUCCACAGCAUCGUUUGAAAUUAAAGUUGUGUAUAAAAUGUAUUUUCAGUACGGCACAAUUUGUUAC
rnacentral:lncRNA from 1 species